AUUGAACGCUGGCGGCAGGCCUAACACAUGCAAGUCGAGCGGAUGAAGGGAGCUUGCUCCUGGAUUCAGCGGCGGACGGGUGAGUAAUGCCUAGGAAUCUGCCUGGUAGUGGGGGAUAACGUCCGGAAACGGGCGCUAAUACCGCAUACGUCCUGAGGGAGAAAGUGGGGGAUCUUCGGACCUCACGCUAUCAGAUGAGCCUAGGUCGGAUUAGCUAGUUGGUGGGGUAAAGGCCUACCAAGGCGACGAUCCGUAACUGGUCUGAGAGGAUGAUCAGUCACACUGGAAGUGGGACACGGUCCAGACUCCUACGGGAGGCAGCAGUGGGGAAUAUUGGACAAUGGGCGAGAGCCUGAUCCAGCCAUGCCGCGUGUGUGAAGAAGGUCUUCGGAUUGUAAAGCACUUUAAGUUGGGAGGAAGGGCAGUAAGUUAAUACCUUGCUGUUUUGACGUUACCAACAGAAUAAGCACCGGCUAACUUCGUG
rnacentral:rRNA from 1 species